rnacentral:lncRNA from 1 species
UACACUGAGCUAUGGGACUUGCUCAGACUCACCUCCCGUUAGGAAACAGAAUCUAAUAAGAAACAGACAGUACACAAUGAAGUCAUCAAGGCCUGGUGUCUGGUGCAGGUAAGCCCCACCCCACAGGAGCUGGGGCUGUGGAGACAGAAGCGAAGAAAUUGAGACAUGGAAACGCAGGAUGACAUCCAGUGUCCAUUCUCAGAAAGACUGUUCUCUGAGAUGUUCCCCAAGGUGACGGCAGAUGUCAGCCUUGUGGAUAAAGCAGGCUCUGAAAGCACGCGGACAGGUUACAGACCUCUGUUCCUCGUUACCAUAAUAUUGAAUGCUCAUCUUUUCCCAGGCACGACAGCGAAUAUGUGCUCUGCCUGCUUGCUCACUGUUGUUUGUGCUGGAAAGAACCCGGGCCCAGCCCAGAGCCACGUUGCAGGGCUCAGGACUGCUCUGAAACACUGCCACCUCGUGGGGUGAUGAGGGUUCUGUAGCCCAGGAGUCCUUCUAGCAUGUGGGGACUCUCGGGACCUGUCAAACCAAGAGGGAGAGCCAACUCCUAGAGACCUGGAGGCUUCUAGUACUUCAGGACAGACACAAGCCACAGAACACGCAGAAAAGAGACAGAGAAAAAAGAGCAACGACUGUUCUGUCUGCAACGCUUAAAGCAGGCCACCUGUGGCUGAUCAAGAAGCACUGGUCCGUGUGGUCAUCCUUAAAUGGAAGUGUGCAUCUCGGUCUGGAGGCUUUACGAUGAUGCAUUCACAUCAAGCCUUUCAACUUCAAGCCACAGUGAGAGCCAGCCACAACGGCACCGGUCGACUAAGUCAGACUUUGCUAAGUGAAAAGGCUACACUGGACAGAGGCAGAAUCUACAUCCAAGCCAAAAAGCAUGGUCAGAGUUGCCUCCUCUGAGUUAAGUUCCCUCUUCUGCAAGGACUGUGUGACCCCUGGACAUUUGUUAGGUCAUGUCCAAAUAGCAUAGUUCAUACGGAGAACUAGAGACAACUGGUCAACCACGGAGCUGGACACUCUCAUUGUUUCAGAGAACUCUGGAGUCGAUUUUGAAAUCCAUUGUCAACUCUGUUUUUAACUUCUUGGGUUUAAAACUUCUUGUUUGAAACUCAAGCAGCUCUCCAACAACAAGAAAUAGACUACCCGUAGAUCGGUGUCGCUGUGGUAAGCCUCCUUCCUUGCUGUCCACUGUAAGCAGACAAGGACUGUUGAUUAAAAGGCGUGGUUUUUUCCUCCA